AUGUCAUCAUCAAAUGUUUUAAGGGAUGACUACAGAAGUUCCUCCACUAUCUACCAUAUAUCUUAUAAACUACUUCUUAUAAACUUAGAGAAACAAGCUGUCCUUGCUUGUGGAGGGGAACUGGCAGGACAGCUCGGGACUGUUGCCAAAGGAGAACAAGUAGGAGGAGGUGGGCAAGGUUUCAGUGCAGUACUGCAGAUCGGAAGUCAUAUCACUGAAACUCUGACUGCCUUUCUGAAGAUCUUCCACUGUAGUUCCAGAAUUGUUACUAGAAGCAUGAUGAUGCAGCAGGACACAGCAGAUGCACUCUCUAAUGACUUGAUGGGACAUCCUUCCUUUCUGCAUGAUCGAAGAUAUAGUUCUUUAUGACCCAGGGAGAAGGCGAACAAGGGGAAGAAUUGCGGGAAUGGUUGAAUAUUUGUUGCUAUUAGGAACUCACAGCAGCAACUCCUUUCCUGCAUGUUAAUGAACUGACUAGCAACUCAUACUGCAAUAGCACAGAGGGCAAUCUCUGGAGUGGGCUCUGCAGUCAGGUUGCUUGGAGUCCCA
rnacentral:lncRNA from 1 species